rnacentral:rRNA from 1 species
AUUGAACGCUGGCGGCAGGCCUAACACAUGCAAGUCGAGCGGAUGAAGAGAGCUUGCUCUCUGAUUUAGCGGCGGACGGGUGAGUAAUGCCUAGGAAUCUGCCUGGUAGUGGGGGAUAACGUUCCGAAAGGAACGCUAAUACCGCGUACGUCCUACGGGAGAAAGCAGGGGACCUUCGGGCCUUGCGCUAUCAGAUGAGCCUAGGUCGGAUUAGCUAGUUGGUGAGGUAAUGGCUCACCAAGGCGACGAUCCGUAACUGGUCUGAGAGGAUGAUCAGUCACACUGGAACUGAGACACGGUCCAGACUCCUACGGGAGGCAGCAGUGGGGAAUAUUGGACAUUGGGCGAAAGCCUGAUCCAGCCAUGCCGCGUGUGUGAAGAAGGUCUUCGGAUUGUAAAGCACUUUAAGUUGGGAGGAAGGGCAGUAAGUUAAUACCUUGCUGUUUUGACGUUACCGACAGAAUAAGCACCGGCUAACUUCGUGCCAGCCGCCGCCGUAAUAC